UUUUUGUAUGAUAUGGCUAACGGUGAGCCCGGUGUGUGCCACGUUUUUUCUUUUUUUCUGAAAUUUUUUCCACGUUUUUUCCAAACCCUUCCUUCAUCACAAUCUCCAACAGAAACCCUAACCCUCCUCCACCAUCUUCUCCCCAGCCGCCGCCAACUUCAUGCUCGCCGGCCACCACACGCACACCGCCGAAAGGCCCCCACCACAGAAGCGACCUCAAACCUCACCGACCACCACGAGCUCGUGCCUCCGCCAUACUCGCAUCAGGAAAGUCCUCUGUCAAUGCAUAUAACCGUCUCCUCAGCACGCCACCGCC
rnacentral:lncRNA from 1 species